rnacentral:ribozyme from 1 species
GGCAAUUUUAAGUGUACCCGCAGAGUUCACCACGAUGGCUGGCCGCCGCUUACGCUCGGCGGUACGA